CUUCAACGACCCCAACCACAACGGCCGUUCAUCAGUAUGGUCCUGACCAUAAGUGUUCAGCAGCGCCUGCGCCUC
rnacentral:antisense_RNA from 1 species